CCAGGCACAUGUGGUCCACACAACAACACAUGGCGUUGGCCAUGCUUGUGGCACUCGCCACACAUAUAAGACAUGGCGCCGGCCAUGUGCCUUGUGGCACCCGCCACAGGCUNNNNNNNNNNNGAUUUCGGCGUUCCUCAGAUUUCGGUGGAAGCAACUAAGAUAUGCACGUUUCUUAUAACGGAACAACGGAUUCGAAGGAGAUAUUUGUAUCUCAUAAAGACUAUAAAUAGAGAACACCAGUCAGUGUUUUU
rnacentral:lncRNA from 1 species